rnacentral:lncRNA from 1 species
UUCUGAGGGGUUUGGGACUACCAGAGUCAUGGGAGAUGUGUCAGCAGGAUGUACUGGGGUAGACAUGGGUUCAUGUGGAGAUACAUGAGGUGACAUUUUCCCCCUCCUUAGCUGUGGCCCUAGGUGGGCUCCCCAGGAGGUUGGUUAGCUGAGGACAGUUGCCCAAACACCAGUUCUGUGGCCAUAGAGACGCAAGGAGCUCACUGCACCAGUACCAUGAAGUUCUGCUUUUCCAGGAAAACAACUGCCAGACUAUUAAUUUUCCCAAAUAAUGGCAAACACAAUUCCCUCCUGACAGAGUGAGCAUUUCAGAGCUGAUCUGCUCUCCAUGUCUCUCCCCAGCCUGGGCAAAUUAGCAGCCUUGUCUUAUCCAGAGGAAAUGGAGCGUGAAGGGCAUACUGGGAGAGACCUGGGCCAUUCCCUUUGCAAUGGCACCUCUGGCUGGGGCAUGAUGGAGCUCUUCCUUUUGAGAUCUUCAGUCUCCAUGCUGAUUGCAGAGGCAGCUGUUGAACCAUAAGGAAUGGAUGGAGACUGGUCCCUGGUGGGGAGGGGACCACAGACAGGGAAAUGUGCCUCUGGUGCUCUGUCUGGCUGUUGCUCAAGGGUGGGAUCUGUGUCCCCUGGAGAACACGGCUGGCUGUGCUGGUUUAGGCUGGGGUGGAGUUAAUUUUCUUUUCUUGUUUCUGUUCUGCCACUGUGGUGAGGGGACUGCAGCACAUGGAAACUUGGGAGGAGAUACUGGUGGGAUAACUCAUCCCAGCCCACCCAAGGGAUGUUCCAGACCAUAUGUCAUCAGUAUAUAAAGUAGGAGGAAGAGGUGAGCCACACUUGGAAUGAUGGCCUUUGUCUUCCCAGGUCACCAUUACCUGUGAUGGACCUGCAGUCCUGCUGAACACCCACCUGCCCAUGGGAAGCGGUGAAUGAAUUCCUUGCUUUGCUCUGUUUGCAUGCAUGGCUUUUGCUUUCCCUAUUACAUUGGUUUUGGUUCAGCCCAUGCCUUUUCUCGUUCCUGCCCUUGAUUCUCUCUCUGAUCCUGCUGGUGGGGCAGUGAGUUACACCCCCGGCUGAGGUGUAACCCUGCUGGUGUCACAGCGAGGGACACCUGCAGUCACUGCAGCGAUGGCUUUGGGCUUGGGCAGCGCUCAGCAGCUGCAGAGGCUCGUGGUGCCCCAGGGAGUGUCCAAGCAGGACACGGGGCAAGGCACUGACCACGGCUGCUGAACAGGACCAGUGGGAGACGCAGGAUGUCCCCAAAGGCCCGUGCCCCGGGGCAGCUGGAAGGGCUUGCUGACGUGUUGUGGGCCGCCUGCAUCCCCCCAGGACCCGUGGGUCCGUCUCUGAGAGCUGCUGUCCCUCCAGCUGGCCCCGAGCCCGGUGUGUCACAGGAACCUCCUGCCUGCUCUGAUUGCAGGGAUUGCACCACGCUGCCCCAGGCUGCGCCACGGCCUGACGGGGCCCUGCUGCUGGCCACUGCUGCUGGCCACAGCUGAUAAGAGCUUUCUGCACUGGUCCCAGUGGGAUGUUGGCAGACAGGGCAGAUCUGGCAUCUGUGGCAGGGGGUGUUGGCUCUGUGCUGCCCUGGACAGGCUCCCAGGGCACCCACACUGUUGCUGGCCAGCACGGGGAAAGUUCUUCUUCUUCCAGAUUGUUCAAGCAAAUCAGAGUGGCAGUGCUUCUUUUAAAUCUGUUUAGAGACAUCAUAUCCACGAGAGAGCAGUGACAUGGGACAGGGCUCAGUGUGAGGAAGACAAGAGAUAAAGCUCAAUUUUGACCUAAAGUAUUUAACAGGAAAUCCCAAAUUCCCUUCUCUAACCAAUUUCAGACAUCCUUAUCACAGAUGCUGCCCAGCCCCAACAAUGGGGGGCUGCCAGUUCCCCUCCCUUCCUCCAGGGCAGGUACACCCUUGCCUUUCAAUUUGUGGUGCUCUGGCCUUAUCUGUACCCCCAGCUGCUGCCUACCAUUUUCCUGGGCAGAUGCUGGAGGAGAGCACCCCACAAAUUCACACCCACUCACCCCCUGUCUAGCUCUGUGGUUAGGCAAUUUGGUUUUGAGCCAACAAGGUGUACUCAGGGCAAAGGCAGUGGAGGGAAGGCUUC